GGUAGUGUGGCCGAGUGGUCUAAGGUGCUGGAUUAAGGCUCCAGUCUCUUUGGGGGUGUAGGUUCGAACCCCACCACAGCCA
rfam:Oreochromis niloticus linkage group LG18, whole genome shotgun sequence.